rnacentral:rRNA from 1 species
AACGAACGCUGGCGGCAUGCCUAACACAUGCAAGUCGAACGAGACCUUCGGGUCUAGUGGCGCACGGGUGCGUAACGCGUGGGAACCUGCCCUUAGGUUCGGAAUAACUCCCCGAAAGGGGUGCUAAUACCGGAUAAUGUCUUCGGACCAAAGAUUUAUCGCCUUUGGAUGGGCCCGCGUUGGAUUAGCUAGUUGGUAGGGUAAAAGCCUACCAAGGCGACGAUCCAUAGCUGGUCUGAGAGGAUGAUCAGCCACACUGGGACUGAGACACGGCCCAGACUCCUACGGGAGGCAGCAGUGGGGAAUAUUGGACAAUGGGCGAAAGCCUGAUCCAGCAAUGCCGCGUAAAUGAUGAAGGCCUUAGGGUUGUAAAGCUCUUUUACCCGGGAUGAUAAUGACAGUACCGGGAGAAUAAGCUCCGGCUAACUCCGUG